UUUUUCAAGAUAAGGGAUAUACGGGUUUGAUUGAAUAUUGAUGGUUGUAAUUAAUAAUUAAUGAGCCAUCAAUCCCCCGAAAUCUAUAUAUUUUUCAAGAUAAGGGUGAUACAGUCUUUCAUGAUGAUUCUAAAACAGCAUGUGACAAUGGGGAAGAUCAUACAAAGGAUAAUUUCGGAGGGUCUUUGGCUGAUAAAGCUGGCAGAGACCUAAACAAUCGAACAAUGUAAGACUCGAUGAGCCAUUUCAUCUAUUUGCUUCAGUUGAAACUUGAAACCGUUUAAAUUUUCUUUAACAUUUUGUUUCUUCUGCAAAAUAUCCUCUUUGUCUUUAAGUGUUACUCACGGAUCACUUUGAGGAGAAGUGCAAAGCUUUUAUGCCUAAACUUUGAGGUACAGCAUUCUAUUAUGUACGAGACUUUUUAGUUUUGCUU